rnacentral:rRNA from 1 species
UUGGAGGGCAAGUCUGGUGCCAGCAGCCGCGGUAAUUCCAGCUCCAAUAGCGUAUAUUAAAGUUGUUGCAGUUAAAAAGCUCGUAGUUGAAUUUCGGGAUCAGAUUGUCGGUCGUGCCUCGGUACGCACUGGCAUUAUUGGUUCCUACCUUCUGAAGAACCGCGAUGUCAUUAAUUUGGUGUCGUGGGGAAUCAGGACUGUUACUUUGAAAAAAUUAGAGUGUUUAAAGCAGGCGCACGCUUGAAUACAUUAGCAUGGAAUAAUGAAAUAGGACGUUUGAUUCUAUUUUGUUGGUUUCUAGGAUCGACGUAAUGAUUAAUAGGGAUAGUUGGGGGCAUUAGUAUUCAAUUGUCARAGGUGAAAUUCUUGGAUUUAUUGAAGACUAACUACUGCGAAAGCAUUUGCCAAGGAUGUUUUCAUUAAUCAAGAACGAAAGUUAGGGGAUCGAAGACGAUCAGAUACCGUCGUAGUCUUAACCAUAAACUAUGCCGACUAGGGAUCGGAUGAUGUUAAUUUUUUAAUGACUCAUUCGGCACCUUACGGGAAACCAAAG